GACAGGACCUCAGCUGACCGACCGACGACACGUCUGCACUCUGCACGAUUUGACCGUGUUAUGUCUUGCCCAUGCGCAAAGGAAAGACUGGAGUGAAAAUGAAAGUAGAUCCAAAAGCACAUGUGUAAACACAGGGGAGCAAUUAUUAUAGCUUUUCACGAAUAAAAGUGACAAUAGAUAAGUACAAUUGUUGGCGAAUUGUAAAAUUAAAUCGUUUUAUAUUGCUUUAGAGUGUCAGCAGUAUGAACAUCGAUAUUUCGGACAAUGCCAGUUAUUGUGACGAUGAAGAAACCGAUCACCUGGAGCACAACAUCAUGAACAUGAUACUAAUUAAACAAAUGAGAUCAUGAACGAGAUGCUAUAUUUGGAUCUUCUGGUUAUAAGGAUGAUGACAAUGGUGAAAGUGAUGAAGAAGAGGCGGCCGGCUGGGGGCGAUGAAUAUAAGAUGUGGAAAGAUAUAUCAAGCUGCUGCCUCUAGAAAAUGAUUUCUGCUUGGAAGUUUCCCAUGGUGACAUUGAUUGUGCUAUGGCUAGCAUAAGGAUUGUAAUGAGCUGACAACAGUAAUUGUGAGAUCUCCGAAAUACAUGUAAACCAAUUCUGAUGUAGAACCUUAUCAUAGAGGAAGGGUGAACAUCAUAACAUUACCAGAUAGCCAACCUAUGUAUAGGGUAAUAAUCCAUCAUACUUCCUGCGUACUUGUGUUUUAUUUGAAUGGACAGCAAGGAUUUUGGCAAUUGGUACAUGUACAACCUCUUCUCUUGCAUGGCAGGUUUAACAUUUGCCUUUUUUCACAGGGAAAGUACCAGUAAAUGUUAAAUUUCAUAAUACAUGUGCUUUAUUUCUCAUAGGAUCUUUUUACUUUUAAAAUUUAUAUUUAGUACUUUUAUUUUCAUUACCAUAUUACAUUUUUAAUAAAUUUCAAUUUGUCAACACCAUUGAAAUAUAUAAUAUGUAUAUAUGUAUUCCUUGUUUAAAUUUUGGUAACAUAUGAAAAAUCUUAUAUUUUCAAUGGUUUGGAAUUAUUUAUACAUGUAUAUGUAUAUGAAAUCAAUUUGUAAACAAAUGUGCAUGAAAAUUUUAUUUUGUUUCUGUUUUCAACUUUUGGAAUUGAAUUGUGAAUAAUUUUUAUGAACUGACAGUAUCACAAUUUUAUUAAUUUUA